rnacentral:rRNA from 1 species
GACGAACGCUGGCGGCGUGCUUAACACAUGCAAGUCGAACGGAAAGGCCCUGCUUUUGUGGGGUGCUCGAGUGGCGAACGGGUGAGUAACACGUGAGUAACCUGCCCUUGACUUUGGGAUAACUUCAGGAAACUGGGGCUAAUACCGGAUAGGAGCUCCUGCUGCAUGGUGGGGGUUGGAAAGUUUCGGCGGUUGGGGAUGGACUCGCGGCUUAUCAGCUUGUUGGUGGGGUAGUGGCUUACCAAGGCUUUGACGGGUAGCCGGCCUGAGAGGGUGACCAGCCACAUUGGGACUGAGAUACGGCCCAGACUCCUACGGGAGGCAGCAGUGGGGAAUAUUGCACAAUGGGCGGAAGCCUGAUGCAGCAACGCCGCGUGCGGGAUGACGGCCUUCGGGUUGUAAACCGCUUUCGCCUGUGACGAAGCGUGAGUGACGGUAAUGGGUAAAGAAGCACCGGCUAACUACGUGCCAGCAGCCGCGGUGAUACGUAGGGUGCGAGCGUUGCCCGGAUUUAUUGGGCGUAAAGGGCUCGUAGGUGGUUGAUCGCGUCGGAAGUGUAAUCUUGGGGCUUAACCCUGAGCGUGCUUUCGAUACGGGUUGACUUGAGGAAGGUAGGGGAGAAUGGAAUUCCUGGUGGAGCGGUGGAAUGCGCAGAUAUCAGGAGGAACACCAGUGGCGAAGGCGGUUCUCUGGGCCUUUCCUGACGCUGAGGAGCGAAAGCGUGGGGAGCGAACAGGCUUAGAUACCCUGGUAGUCCACGCUGUAAACGGUGGGUACUAGGUGUGGGGUCCAUUCCACGGGUUCCGUGCCGUAGCUAACGCUUUAAGUACCCCGCCUGGGGAGUACGGCCGCAAGGCUAAAACUCAAAGGAAUUGACGGGGCCCCGCACAAGCGGCGGAGCAUGCGGAUUAAUUCGAUGCAACGCGUAGAACCUUACCUGGGUUUGACAUGGGUCGGGAGUGCUCAGAGAUGGGUGUGCCUCUUUUGGGGUCGGUUCACAGGUGGUGCAUGGCUGUCGUCAGCUCGUGUCGUGAGAUGUUGGGUUAAGUCCCGCAACGAGCGCAACCCUUGUUCACUGUUGCCAGCACGUUAUGGUGGGGACUCAGUGGAGACCGCCGGGGUCAACUCGGAGGAAGGUGGGGAUGACGUCAAGUCAUCAUGCCCCUUAUGUCCAGGGCUUCACGCAUGCUACAAUGGCUGGUACAGAGAGUGGCGAGCCUGUGAGGGUGAGCGAAUCUCGGAAAGCCGGUCUCAGUUCGGAUUGGGGUCUGCAACUCGACCUCAUGAAGUCGGAGUCGCUAGUAAUCGCAGAUCAGCAACGCUGCGGUGAAUACGUUCCCGGGGCU